CUUGCUGACGAGUGGCGGACGGGUGAGUAAUGCUUGGGAAUCUGGCUUAUGGAGGGGGAUAACGACGGGAAACUGUCGCUAAUACCGCGUAUUAUCGGAAGAUGAAAGUGCGGGACUGAGAGGCCGCAUGCCAUAGGAUGAGCCCAAGUGGGAUUAGGUAGUUGGUGGGGUAAAUGCCUACCAAGCCUGCGAUCUCUAGCUGGUCUGAGAGGAUGACCAGCCACACUGGAACUGAGACACGGUCCAGACUCCUACGGGAGGCAGCAGUGGGGAAUAUUGCGCAAUGGGGGGAACCCUGACGCAGCCAUGCCGCGUGAAUGAAGAAGGCCUUCGGGUUGUAAAGUUCUUUCGGUAUUGAGGAAGGUUGAUGUGUUAAUAGCACAUCAAAUUGACGUUAAAUACAGAAGAAGCACCGGCUAACUCCGUGCCAGCAGCCGCGGUAAUACGGAGGGUGCGAGCGUUAAUCGGAAUAACUGGGCGUAAAGGGCACGCAGGCGGUUAUUUAAGUGAGGUGUGAAAGCCCCGGGCUUAACCUGGGAAUUGC
rnacentral:rRNA from 1 species